CCUCUCUAGGCUGCUCAGAGGAUUCAGUGCCCCCGCCAGGAGCUUCUCCAGGCGGUUAUGGGAGAGGUCAAGGUUCUUCAGGUGGCGUAGUUUCUGGAACAGGGCUGUGGGUACGGCCGUCAAACGGUUCCCUGACAGGUCCAGCCAGGUGAGGUUACUGUUGUCAGGGAG